CUUCGAAACCGAAACCCCCUUUGCGAGAUUCGCCGCAUCUAUACCUGAUUUGCGUUCAAAAAUGCCUGCUUAAUUAUUCCAUAGUAGGACCAAACAUGCCUUAAGAAAAGGAGUACGUUUGAAACUGUAGGAACCAUAAAAAGUACGCCAGGUGAAUGCCUUUCUACUCCAGGAAGCCGCAGCAUACGCCUGAAGCAGGAAGAGGACGCGGUCAGUUUGAAAUAGCUGAAUCGAUGUCAUCCUGAAAGCAACAGUACAGUUAAGAAGCCCAUGUUUAACUGUAUCUCCACAAAGCUGGGCCAGUUCUGCAGAUGAUCAGAGGGACUUCGCCAUCAUCACAUGCCUCAUUGCUGCAGUCAGACUGAAACAGGACGGUGAUGCAUGGCAGUCCAUGCCCGAGAUACGGAUGAUGAAGAGACCACAGCAACAUCUGGUCCAGAUGAGGACACAAGGGCAGGUGGACUGAUGCAGGGUCUUGUUCAAUUCACUACAGGAGAACAGGAGUGGCCAAACUCAGUCCAGAACUGCUGCUGUCUUGCAGAGUUUACUUGAAGUUGACUCUAAACUCUGCAGGACACCAGCCGUCCAGAACUAAGUUUGGGCACCCCUGCAUUACAGCAUUUCCAGGAUGCUGCUGUGGACUUUUUUGCCCUCACCACACACACCAAUCUGCAGCUAUUUCAGAUCAUACAAAACAUUAAAAAAAAAAAUAAAAUAAAAAACAGUCAUUUUACUGCACAAUGUGUCAUUUGAUUUCUGUAGUGCUAGUAAUAAAAUUAUCCUACCUCU
rnacentral:lncRNA from 1 species